GCCUGGCCGUCGUCCACUCGAUCGUCGUCGCGUCGUCCGUCAUCGAUCAGUGCGGCGUCAGUCGGAGAUGCUGAGCAUGGCGUAGCGGACGUACUCGUCGACGCCGCCCCGGCUCCCGCUGUGGCUCCAGGCGGCGCCGCGCGCCAGGGCGUCGUUGACCCACGCGGCGUGCGAGGCGAGCACGACGCACAGGACGGCGAAGGCCUCGGGAAGGUGGCGCGCGAGCGGCAGCCGCAGGUUGAGCGGCGCCGAGAGGUUGAACACCUGCAUGAGCCCCCUCGCCGCCACGAACGCAAGCAGGUGGAACCCCAUCGCGUCGAGGUCGAAUUCGAAUCGGCCAACACCGGGCCGCCCGCCGGCGCACACACAGGUCGCGGGAGCUCGAUCGCCUUGGUACAGUGGCUGCCGUCGUCGUCGUCGUCGUCUCCGUCUCUUGUUGGCAGCAGCUAGCGGGAAAUAAUAAUGCCUGCUGCCCGGCCGGUCGCGUGCACUUGUUCCGCCGAGACGGGGCCAAUCCCACCAGCUUGAGCUCGCCUGCGGAAUGCGCGGCGUGUUAAGUAGGCAAAGGACGCCCCAGGACGGCAGGCAAGGCAACGUCGCUGCCACGCUGGUGGUGCCGUGGUGGUGGUGGUGGUGGGGGCAGCCGCGCGCUGCCGUGCCGGGGGCCGAGGGGGUUGCGGCCUUCCCCAGUUGCGAGCGGCAACGAGAAAGGGGGAGGCAGCCACACCGUACCGGCUGAUGACUAGGACGAGUUGCUGCCUGGUUUGGGCAAGGGCGGGCCGGGGUUUUCGUUGGUUUUGGAUAAGAAAGCACCCUGCCUACGAUUGGUUCUGAGUUCUGACGUGUACCCCUAUGGAAUGGAAUGGAAUGGAAUGGAACACUUUUUCACCCAUCCGUUAUCUAGCAAACAAUUGAAGUAUAUCUAGAGUGCUAGGUCCUCUUUUCUUUUAUUUCCUUUUACGUACGUCAACAACAUACAACUGAUUUGUACUGUUGAGGCAGCUUACCUGAUAUACUCUAUUUAUCCUGAAAAUAGAAUUUAUAUAAAAAUAUAUGAAUAUUUAUGAUAAUGUAUCGUGAAAUUUAUUUUCUUAGUAGUAAUAUUAACAGUGUUAUUUUAUAUAUAAAUAUAGUUAAAAAAUAGAGAGUUGUUAUUAUAUAUCAAGUGGUUAAUUUUUUUAAAAAAAAUUCAAGCAUAUCUUACACGUUCAAUUGGUAUAAUUAAAAAACAAUGAUAAGCGAACUGAUCGUAGAUCAGCUGGUUGGCUUUCUUAUGGUGGAACCUGUCUAUCCGGAUUCAAGUCCCUCCCGGACUUAGGGGGCGUUUGAGACUACUCUGCUCCACGUUUUUCAGCUCCGCUCCACGUUUUUUAGCCAAACGGUUUCAGCUCCACGCAAUCAGUUCGAGAAAAAAGAGUGGAGUUGUGAGAGCACCUAAAGAGGUACUCCACAAACUCCAGUUUUUUGUGGAGCUGCUCCACGGUGGAGUUUGUGGAGCAGAGUUUGUGAAGCAGUCCCAAACAGCCCUUAACACGGGUGCUUUCAGUGGUAGACAACGAGGAGUCUGCGGUGAUUUCAUCAAUCUCGAGUUUUGCCGGUCCAACUCAGUUCUUCGAUAUGCUCAUAGAGGUAGGGUGUGCGUGCCUACGUUCAUAUGGGUGAGUGUAUACUCAUGUUUGUGAGCGUCUGCGUCUAGAAUUGAUGGGUCUCGCAAAAAAAAAACAAUGACAAAAUUGUAUGUGGUCUAAAAACAACAAAAAAAACAGGCAUCUAAUAUAUAGAAAAAGUAUAAAUUAAGAUAAUUUUACUAUAGAGAGCAGAAUCAGAAUGACACUUUUUUGUACACACUAGAGAGUUAUGCUAGUUGUAUAAGUUACUUUUCUUUCUGAAAAUGGUUGACAUCGAUCCCAUGUGAUCAAUUUAACGUGAAAUGGCCUUUUAAGUACCAAUUUUGCUACAACUGUUUGUCUAUAUAUAUAGUUUCUAUUUUUGUGUAUGUGGUGUGUGUCCGUGGGAGUGAGUGAGUGACGACUGACGAAGUAAAAAAAACCUGGGCGGUUGUGCCGACUCACCACUGACGUACGGGUACGGCUAACACCUAACAGCUUGCCCUAUUCAUCCAUUUUGGGCUGCUGCAGGCCGCAGGACAGUUACAUUUUCUGUAGGCCUUGUUUGGAUGUUGUGCUCAAUCCACAUGUGUUGGAGUGGAUUGAGGUGGAAUUUAGUUCAAGUUCUACUCUAACUCACCUCAACACAUAUGAAUUAAUGUGAAUUCGACUACAUUCAAACAAGAUCGUAGAUGGGGGCGACAUCAUUUUCAGCAAUGGAUAAGGUUGAGGCUCAUCAGAUGUCAGGCUAGAUCACCGGCGGGGCCAGCUCGCAAACAAAUCAAAGCUUUGUUCUCUUCUUCACAUACUAUGAGCGAGUACUCUAGAUUGUUGUUUGGUGUGUGUGCAUCUCUAAUAGCUACAGUAUAUAAUAAGCAACAUGACACAGUCCUCAGUAGGAAAGCUUCAGGCUAAGCACCUCACACAAAUUAUUAAUCGCUCGCAGACGGCGGGGGUGAAUGGUUAGGUUCGACACAUCAGACAGUUGCAGGGGGCCAUGGAACUCAUCAGGGAGCCCACAGAGUAGGUGGAGGCAUCGGACCUGGAUGGACUGAUCCAAAGCGACUGGACUGAUCUGACCUGCUCGGCAAGCAAAAGCAUUCGACCUCGCAUGCAUUCCCUGACCGAGCGCCCAACUAAUCAUACGGCACGCACGAUCGUUUCCCAGCGUCCUUGUGGUUCUGGUGGUGCAGCCAGUCAUCGAGUGGAUGUGCUGGCCUCUCUGGCCCCGAGGAGCCGCUCUUUCAUUUUGCCAGUGGCUUUCUGGAUAGAGAUGAUGAUGAUGAUAUAUCGUGGUGAUGAGUCUUUGACUGGGCGAUUAAUCUGUUCAAUUUGCGUGUCUACGAGGGAAUUCAUUCAUCAUUAAUUCUGAUUUUCGAACAGCCGAAGCUAGCGUCAAUCUGUUUAUAUGUUUCAGAGUUUUGCAUGAGGUAGGCAGAGCUAUUAGCUAUAGUAAUAGUAUGUACUGUACUGGUGCUUUGUCAAAGAGCACAGUACACUUUGGACGUGUGUAGGGGCGGUCGAGAAUGGCGAGAUCCAAGUGCUGACCUUCUGGCUGUAGGUGAGGCUCUGCAUCGUGCUGCAUUGUAUAUACUGUUCGUCCCCUGUUGUGCUGCACGCGAGCCUCGUUAUGAUGUGUUGAGUCUUAAUUAAUUGAUUUAGGAUCCAGAAAAUUAGGAGCUCAUUUGGAUCCUCUAGUUUUUAUUUAUUAGGUGUGACAGUCGGAAGGAAUUAAACAGCACUGUUCUAUAAAAGUACAGCACUGUUUUAUGAAGUGGAUAGCUAAAUAAAGAUAUGGAAUAUGAAAUUUAGAAUGUCUCUUGGAGGUGCUCUUAAUUAUCUGAUGAUGUAGCAGAAUGAAGUGAUUCUAGAGCGGUGCUAGUGGGGAGCUGAGGACUGAAUAGAGAAAAGGCUUCUAAUUAAGUUUUGACCCACAGCUUCCAAUGCAAGUAGAGAAAUGGUUUUUAUCUGAUCACUACUAGAAUCUAUAUAACUUGUUGAUGUUUGGCUAAGCUGGAAGCUCCACCAACAGGAAGGGUGUGUGCAGGCUUACAGCAGCACGACGAGCACGAGGCAUCGGUGUCUAACAAAGACCAGCCCGAGAGGUGCCGUGGACGGAGGAGGGAUCAGGGAUAUGGGGAGGUACCGUGGACGUUGUGUCUCAUACAUAAGUACAGUUCUUGAUCUGUUAAUUGUAUAUGGAGUAGUUGGACUAGCAGACUCUUCUACCUCGUUAACCCUCUUGACCGGCCGGGUGCAGCUUGCGCAUGAUGUUCUGUGGUCAGCCUCCGAGGGAGAACGAGAGAGAAGUCCCAGUUUUAAAUUUGCACUACUCUAGAUGGGAGCCACGCAUGCACGUCUUUCAAUUUUCUACAGAACGGAUAAGUCAGCAUCUCACAUGCUGUACAGAUUAUCUAUACACCUGGGGCCAGCAGUAUAAAAAACUAAUACAUGUGUUUUGUUUUCUCUCACACAAAUAUAUGGCUUGGCCGCUUGGGUGUUCAUAUAUUGCGUGUACAGAUCACAAGCUACAUAAGUUGUUUGGAUCGGAAGUUGAACAUUCCACAUGCACCAACUUCGCUGUUGUCGUCCAUGGGGUUGCAUUUUCCGGUCCAUGUGGUAUCCUACGUGCAUGCAUACGGCCAUACGGGCGCAUCGUCUUUCCCUGCGUUUUUCUAGUCCCUGUCGUCAGAGGCGAUUAUAUGUGUUGUGUUGCCCUUUCUCGACCCGAGGAGCUAGCUACCUAGUUGGUCAUGGAGCGGUGGCCAUCAAUAGUUCGCCACCUGAUGAGAAAAUUUUCAGUCGAACAAAAUUCACCUUUUACAAACCACGGUUGCAUUGCAUGUUAUAUGUUACAACAAUCUACCAAUUUUUUUUGAACGCUACCAAAAAUCAUGCUACGAUCAGGAAGGAACCAAACGCUCGCUCGAGCAAUGCACAAGGAAUCACAAGGGGGGAAAGGAAGAGCUACACCCUAAUAGCUAAGCUAGCAAAAGGCCGGGCGGCAUGCACUUGCGCCUGGCCGUCGGCCGAUCCGUCCGCCGGUGCGCGCGCGCGUCAGAUCAGUCGGAGAUGCUGAGCAUGGCGUAUCGGACGUACUCGUCGACGCCACCCCGGCUCCCGCUGUGCCUCCAGGCGGCGCCGCGCGCCAGGGCGUCGUUGAGCCACGCGGCGUGCGAGGCGAGCACGCCGUACAGGACGGCGAAGGCCUCAGGAAGGUGGCGCGCGAGCGGCAGCCGCCGGUUGAGCGGCGCCGAGAGGUUGAACACCUGCAUGAGCCCCCUCGCCGCCACGAACGCAAGCAGGUGGAACCCCAUCGUCGAGGUCCAAGAAUUAAGCCACAGCACCGGCGGACGACGGGGCACACAGAUCGCGGAUGGAGCUCGCCCUUGGUACGGUGGAUAUAUCGUCGCCUCUUGUUGGCAGCAGCAGCAGCAGCAGCGGGAAAUGUUGCCCGG
rnacentral:lncRNA from 1 species